rnacentral:rRNA from 1 species
GCGGAGGGAUCAUUACCGAGUUUACAACUCCCAAACCCAAUGUGAACGCUACCAAACCGUUGCCUCGGCGGGGAUUUCUGCCCCGGGCGCGUCGCAGCCCCGGACCAAGGCGCCCGCCGGAGGACCAAAACCACAAACUCUUUUCCAACAUCCCUCUGCGGAUUCUCCCCACGUCUCUGAGCUCUCCGGGCGCCCCUCAGCGGGCGUCCCGAAAAUGAAUCAAAACUUUCAACAACGGAUCUCUUGGUUCUGGCAUCGAUGAAGAACGCAGCGAAAUGCGAUAAGUAAUGUGAAUUGCAGAAUUCAGUGAACCAUCGAAUCUUUGAACGCACAUUGCGCCCGCCAGCACUCUGGCGGGCAUGCCUGUCCGAGCGUCAUUUCAACCCUCGAACCCCCCCGGGGGUCCGGCGUUGGGGAUCGGCACUUCACGCUGCCGGCCCCGAAAUGCAGUGGCGGUCUCGCCGCGGCCUCCCCUGCGCAGUAGUUUGCACACUCGCACCGGGAGCGCGGCGCGCCCACGGCCGUAAAACACCCCAAACAUCUGAAAGGUUGACCUCGGAUCAGGUAGGAAUACCCGCUGAACUUAAGCUA